GACGAACGCUGGCGGCGUGCCUAAUACAUGCAAGUAGAACGCACAGUUUAUACCGUAGCUUGCUACACCAUAGACUGUGAGUUGCGAACGGGUGAGUAACGCGUAGGUAACCUGCCUGGUAGCGGGGGAUAACUAUUGGAAACGAUAGCUAAUACCGCAUAAUAUUAAUUAUUGCAUGAUAAUUAAUUGAAAGGUGCAAUUGCACCACUACCAGAUGGACCUGCGUUGUAUUAGCUAGUAGGUGAGGUAACGGCUCACCUAGGCGACGAUACAUAGCCGACCUGAGAGGGUGAUCGGCCACACUGGGACGGAGACACGGCCCAGACUCCUACGGGAGGCAGCAGUAGGGAAUCUUCGGCAAUGGACGAAAGUCUGACCGAGCAACGCCGCGUGAGUGAAGAAGGUUUUCGGAUCGUAAAGCUCGGUUGUAAGAGAAGAACGGGUGUGAGAGUGGAAAGUUCACACUGUGACGGUAUCUUACCAGAAAGGGACGGCUAACUACGUG
rnacentral:rRNA from 1 species